AUCAUGGCUCAGGAUGAACGCUAGCGGCAGGCCUAACACAUGCAAGUCGAGGGGUAGAGGGAGCUUGCUUCCUUGAGACCGGCGCACGGGUGCGUAACGCGUAUGCAAUCUGCCCCCUACAGGGGAAUAGCCCAGGGAAACUUGGAUUAAUGCCCCAUAGCCCAUAUUGAGAGCAUUCGAUAUAUGGUAAAGAUUUAUCGGUAGGGGAUGAGCAUGCGUACCAUUAGCUAGUUGGUGUGGUAACGGCACACCAAGGCAACGAUGGUUAGGGCCCUGAGGAGGGGGAUCCCCCACACUGGUACUGAGACACGGACCAGACUCCUACGGGAGGCAGCAGUGAGGAAUAUUGGACAAUGGGCGGGAGCCUGAUCCAGCCAUGCCGCGUGCAGGAAGACUCGCCCUAGUUGGGUUAGUAAACUGUCGUUUUUACGGGAAGAAACCACCCCCACGUGUGGGGGCUUGACGGUACCGUACGAAUAAGGAUCGGCUAACUCCGUG
rnacentral:rRNA from 1 species